CCAGAUUCCAUCCACUCUGCAGUUCAGACGUGUGUCUUCCGAUCUGAUGAAGAUGACUAAGGGAACAUCAUCAUUCAGUAAGCGCCUCAAUAAGACCCACACUUUGUGCCGUCGCUGCGGAUCCAAGGCAUACCAUCUCCAGAAAUCCAC